rnacentral:rRNA from 1 species
UAGGGAAUCUUCCGCAAUGGACGCAAGUCUGACGGAGCAACGCCGCGUGAGUGAAGAAGGAUUUCGGUUCGUAAAACUCUGUUGUUAGAGAAGAACAGCGCAUAGAGUAACUGUUAUGCGUGUGACGGUACUUAACCAGAAAGGGACGGCUAACUACGUGCCAGCAGCCGCGGUAAUACGUAGGUCCCGAGCGUUGUCCGGAUUUAUUGGGCGUAAAGCAAGCGCAGGCGGUCAAUUAAGUCUGAUGUGAAAGCCCCCGGCUCAACCGGGGAGGGUCAUUGGAAACUGGUGGACUUGAGUGCAGAAGAGGAGAGUGGAAUUCCAUGUGUAGCGGUGAAAUGCGUAGAUAUAUGGAGGAACACCAGUGGCGAAGGCGACUCUCUGGUCUGUAACUGACGCUGAGGCUCGAAAGCGUGGGUAGCAAACAGG